rnacentral:rRNA from 1 species
AACGAACGCUGGCGGCAGGCCUAACACAUGCAAGUCGAACGAAGCCUUCGGGCUUAGUGGCGGACGGGUGAGUAACGCGUGGGAAUGUGCCUCUGGGUGCGGAACAACAGUUGGAAACGACUGCUAAUACCGCAUGAUGUCUACGGACCAAAGAUUUAUCGCCCAGAGAUCAGCCCGCGUUGGAUUAGAUAGUUGGUGAGGUAACGGCUCACCAAGUCGACGAUCCAUAUCUGGUUUGAGAGGAUGAUCAGACACACUGGGACUGAGACACGGCCCAG